GGGCAGCGGGGGCGAAGCUUGCUUCGCCUGCCGGCGACCGGCGCACGGGUGAGUAACACGUAUGCGACCUGCCCCCCGCAGGGGGAUAACCGGGAGAAAUCCCGACUAAUACCGCGUAACGCCGCUGGGCUGCAUGGCCCGGCGGCCAAAGGAAGCGAUUCCGGCGGGGGAUGGGCAUGCGGCGCAUUAGCUAGUCGGCGGGGUAACGGCCCACCGAGGCGACGAUGCGUAGGGGUUCUGAGAGGAAGGUCCCCCACACUGGUACUGAGACACGGACCAGACUCCUACGGGAGGCAGCAGUGAGGAAUAUUGGUCAAUGGGCGGGAGCCUGAACCAGCCAGGUCGCGUGAGGGAAGACGGUCCUACGGAUUGUAAACCUCUUUUGCCGGGGAGCAACGGGGUCCUUGCGAGGGCCCGAUGAGAGUACCCGGAGAAAAAGCAUCGGCUAACUCCGUGCCAGCAGCCGCGGUAAUACGGAGGAUGCGAGCGUUAUCCGGAUUUAUUGGGUUUAAAGGGUGCGUAGGCGGGCUGUUAAGUCAGCGGUCAAAUGUCGGGGCUCAACCCCGGCCUGCCGUUGAAACUGGCGGCCUCGAGUGGGCGAGAAGUAUGCGGAAUGCGUGGUGUAGCGGUGAAAUGCAUAGAUAUCAGAGCAGAACUCCGAUUGCGAAGGCAGCAUACCGGCGCCCGACUGACGCUGAGGCACGAAAGCGUGGGUAUCGAACAGGAUUAGAUACCCUGGUAGUCCACGCAGUAAACGAUGAAUGCUAGCUGUCCGGUUCUACGGGACUGGGUGGCACAGCGAAAGCGUUAAGCAUUCCACCUGGGGAGUACGCCGGCAACGGUGAAACUCAAAGGAAUUGACGGGGGCCCGCACAAGCGGAGGAACAUGUGGUUUAAUUCGAUGAUACGCGAGGAACCUUACCCGGGCUCAAACGCCAAAGGACAGCCGUUGAAAGGCGGCCUCCCUCCGGGGUCUUUGGCGAGGUGCUGCAUGGUUGUCGUCAGCUCGUGCCGUGAGGUGUCGGCUUAAGUGCCAUAACGAGCGCAACCCCCAUCGACAGUUGCUAACGGGUAGAGCCGAGGACUCUGUCGAGACUGCCGGCGCAAGCUGCGAGGAAGGCGGGGAUGACGUCAAAUCAGCACGGCCCUUACGUCCGGGGCGACACACGUGUUACAAUGGCCGGUACAGCGGGAUGCCAGGGCGCGAGCCCGAGCGGAACCCGAAAACCGGUCUCAGUUCGGAUUGGAGUCUGCAACCCGACUCCAUGAAGCUGGAUUCGCUAGUAAU
rnacentral:rRNA from 1 species